UACAGAGGUCCCAAGCGUUGUUCGGAUUCACUGGGCGUAAAGGGUGCGUAGGCGGUCGGGUAAGUUUGAUGUGAAAUCUCUGGGCUUAACCCAGAAAUGGCAUUGAAUACUAUUCGGCUAGAGAGUCGGAGGGGGACUGGAAUACUUGGUGUAGCAGUGAAAUGCGUAGAUAUCAAAGUGGAACACCAGUGGCGAAGGCGAGUCCCUGGACGAUUUCUGACGCUGAGGCACGAAAGCUAGGGGAGCAAACAGG
rnacentral:rRNA from 1 species